AACGAACGCUGGCGGCGUGCCUAACACAUGCAAGUCGAACGAAACCUCCGGGUCUUGUGGCGCACGGGUGCGUAAGGCGUGGGAACCUGCACUUAGGUUCGGAAUAACUCCCCGACAGGGGUGCUAAUGCCGGAUAAUGUCUUAGGACCAAAGAUUUAUUGCCUUUGGUUGGGCCCGCGUUGGAUUCGCUCGUUGGUAGGGUAAAAGCCUACCAAGGCGUCGAUCCAUAGCUGGUCUGAGAGGAGGGUCAGCCACACUGGGACUCAGACACGGCCCAGACUCCUACGCGAGGGAGCAGAGGGGGAUAUAGGACAAUGGGCGAAAGGCUGAUCCAGCAAUGCCGGGUAAGUGAUGAAGGCCUUAGGGUUGUAAAGCUCUUUUACCCGGGAUGAUAAUGACGGUACCGGGAGAAUAAGCUCCGGCUAACUACGUG
rnacentral:rRNA from 1 species